rnacentral:rRNA from 1 species
AACGAACGCUGGCGGCAUGCCUAAUACAUGCAAGUCGAACGAUCACUUCGGUGAUAGUGGCGCACGGGUGCGUUACGCGUGGGAAUCUGCCCUUGGGUUCGGAAUAACUUCUGGAAACGGAAGCUAAUACCGGAUGAUGACGUAAGUCCAAAGAUUUAUCGCCGAGGGAUGAGCCCGCGUAGGAUUAGCUUGUUGGUGAGGUAAAAGCUCACCAAGGCGACGAUCCUUAGCUGGUCUGAGAGGAUGAUCAGCCACACUGGGACUGAGACACGGCCCAGACUCCUACGGGAGGCAGCAGUGGGGAAUAUUGGACAAUGGGCGAAAGCCUGAUCCAGCAAUGCCGCGUGAGUGAUGAAGGCCUUAGGGUUGUAAAGCUCUUUUACCCGGGAUGAUAAUGACAGUACCGGGAGAAUAAGCCCCGGCUAACUCCGUGCCAGCCGCCGCGGUAAGAC